GGAAGUAAAAGUCGUAACAAGAUUUCCGUAGGUGAACCUGCGGAAGGAUCAUUAUUGUAUAACCGAGGUGCGAGGGCUGUCGCUGACCCGAAAGGUCGUGCACGCCCGAGUGCCCUCACGCACAUCCAUCUCACCCCUAUGUGCACCACCGCGUGGGUCCCCCUUUGGCUUGUUCGGAGGGGGGCUUACGUUUUCACACAAACUUUGUAUGCAGUGUAGAAUGUAUUUUUUGUUUUUGCGAUCACGCAAUCAAUACAACUUUCAACAACGGAUCUCUUGGCUCUC
rnacentral:misc_RNA from 1 species